rnacentral:rRNA from 1 species
AGUGAACGCUGGCGGCGUGCCUAAUACAUGCAAGUCGAACGGAGUGGCGCACGGGUGAGCAAUAUAUAGCUAAUCUGCCCCUUGCUGGAGGACAACAGUUAGAAAUGACUUCCAAUACUCCAUAGCAAGUGAUGAGACUAUAUCGUAUCAGCUAGUCGGUGGGGUAACGGCCUACCGAGGCUAUGACGCGUAACUGGUCUGAGAGGAUGAUCAGGCACAUUUGAACUGAGACACGGUCAAAACUCCUACAGAAGGCAGCAGUAGAGAAUAUUGCGCAAUGGGGGAAAACCUGACGCAGCAACGCCGCGUGGAGGAUGACACUUUUCGGGGCGUAAACUCAUUUUGUUAGAGAAGCGGUACCUACCGAAUAAGAACCGGCUAACUCCGUGCCAGCAGCCGCGGUAAUAC